UGUGCGAGAGAAUUAUGAUUACUUGGGUGCAAGGACCCGUGAUAAGAAGGCUGGUCGGAUUGGCGUGUUUUAAGACCAAAUUGAGUGUUCUGGUCGCAGUUGGCGGAAGGCAGACCAAGUAAUGUUGGGCUAGAGGCAGCUGGCCAACGCAAGUACACCAUAGGGACAUCAGCGACACUACAAGCCUCAGCCAAGGUCAGUCAUUACAACUCAUAAUUCUGUCUAGAUUAAGAGUUGUUGCCGGCCAUUUGGAGCCUAAUAAUCACUUGUCUCGCGCCAUCGUUCGAGGAUUACUACUGCUGUAAGUGCUACAAAGCGUUUGGAAGCAGUGCGUGAUAACCAACGUUUCAAAUCGGCAUUUUAAGAUCAAGUGCUCGAGUCAGUCCCUAAGAUAGCCUAAAGGUUUCAUUGAAAU